AUUGAACGCUGGCGGCAGGCCUAACACAUGCAAGUCGAACGGUAACAGGAAGCAGCUUGCUGCUUCGCUGACGAGUGGCGGACGGGUGAGUAAUGUCUGGGAAACUGCCUGAUGGAGGGGGAUAACUACUGGAAACGGUAGCUAAUACCGCAUAACGUCGCAAGACCAAAGAGGGGGACCUUAGGGCCUCUUGCCAUCGGAUGUGCCCAGAUGGGAUUAGCUAGUAGGUGGGGUAACGGCUCACCUAGGCGACGAUCCCUAGCUGGUCUGAGAGGAUGACCAGCCACACUGGCACUGAGACACGGUCCAGACUCCUACGGGAGGCAGCAGUGGGGAAUAUUGCGCAAUGGGGGCAAGCCUGAUGCAGCCAUGCCGCGUGUAUGAAGAAGGCCUUCGGGUGGUAAAGUACUUUCAGCGGGGAGGAAGGGAGUAAAGUUAAUAACUUUGCUCAUUGACGUUACCCACCGAAGAAGCACCGGCUAACUACGUG
rnacentral:rRNA from 1 species